UAAGGGCGCACGGUGGAUGCCUUGGCACUAGAAGCCGAUGAAGGACGUUACUAACGACGAUAUGCUUUGGGGAGCUGUAAGUAAGCUUUGAUCCAGAGAUUUCCGAAUGGGGAAACCCAGCAUGAGUUAUGUCAUGUUAUCGAUAUGUGAAUACAUAGCAUAUCAGAAGGCACACCCGGAGAACUGAAACAUCUUAGUACCCGGAGGAAGAGAAAGAAAAUUCGAUUCCCUUAGUAGCGGCGAGCGAAACGGGAAGAGCCCAAACCAACAAGCUUGCUUGUUGGGGUUGUAGGACACUCUAUACGGAGUUACAAAGGACGACAUUAGACGAAUCAUCUGGAAAGAUGAAUCAAAGAAGGUAAUAAUCCUGUAGUCGAAAAUGUUGUCUCUCUUGAGUGGAUCCUGAGUACGACGGAGCACGUGAAAUUCCGUCGGAAUCUGGGAGGACCAUCUCCUAAGGCUAAAUACUCUCUAGUGACCGAUAG
rnacentral:rRNA from 1 species